AAGAACCUCAUCUCUCUCCAUAUUGGUUGCUGCUGUUAAAUAUAAUCUAGCGAUGCAUACGCCAGAUAUCAGAUUCUCCCAAAUGAAUUCAUCGCCCGACAAGAAUGAACCUCAGUAAUACUAACAGAUGUUGCGUUGCGUGCGGGUAUGUCACUAUGUCAUCUCAGACCCAAUAUCCAAUAGAAACACUGUUACUGUUAGGCAGAGCAAGCAGCUUCCACUCCGCCUUCUUUUCUAUACCUUAUGUUUCUGCUUGAAUUAUGGUUAUGAGCAUGUAUAUACUAAUUAAAUAAUUCGACCUUUAUCUAAUAUGUUUCUUCAUUCAUAAGGAGUUGCAAGAUGGGAAAGGAUUAUGUAUGUAAUCAAGGGAGGAAUCAUAAAUUUUUCAACGAGUGGGAUAGUUAUAUUUAUUAGCUAAAAUUUUAGUGAUCAUUUUUUUUUUUCUAUUUACAAUUUCUUGUCUUUGUAAAAAUAAGAGUGUACAUUAAAUCAUAUAAACCACGUUAGUUUAUAGCUUGACUAAUUUCCAAUCAUUUUUAAAAAAUUCUUUGGAUACAAGCGACAUUGGGGGAGGGAAAAUUGAACCUUAAACAAGGGUAAAUGGUCUUAACU
rnacentral:lncRNA from 1 species